CAACCUUAAUGAUGAACUGCAGCAGCCGUAGUGACAGGUAACACUGCAGUGGUAGGAGGUUCCAUAUCAUGAUUACCACAUAUUAAAAAGAGGUGAAUCAAAUAAAAAAGGGUGAAGCAAAUAUGAAUAUCAUUUCAAAAUAUGCCUUCAAAACAAAUACGGAUACCAUUUCUAAACAUACCUAUACACCAAAUAAAUGAAAUAAAUAUUACUUAGUUAUGCAGUACUGUUACCUUCAUAUAAAGCAACAUAUUAAAAAAGAUCUAUUCAAACAUGCAUGUAUCUGAUGCUAAGUUAGUAGCAGUAUUUGCCUCUACUACAUCAUCAAUUAUAUGGUCCGUAGCUAGUUGUACAUACUCAUCACCAUCACUAAAGAACUGUUUGAGUUCUUGCUCUUCGUAUGGUUUCUACUACAUCAUCAAUUAUAUGGUCCGUAGCUAGUUGUACAUACUCAUCACCAUCACUAAAGAACUUUUUGAGUUCUUGCUCUUGGUAUGGUUCAUUCUCAUAUACAUCAUUUCCACUACUUCUUCUCUCAUAUCAUACAGAUCUCUUGGCUUUAGAUGCACAUCGACACUCCAUCCUUUAUUGACAACAUCAUCCACAUAGUACACUAGUUGUGCUUGAGAUGCUUCGAUAUAAGGCUCAUGUUCUUCACGUUCACCUGUAUGAAUCAAUUUAUCAAAAUUAACACAAUUUAAGUUCCAACGAUCCUUUUUAUACCCUCUAUUUCGAGCAGUAUCAACCCAUCUAUAUUUGAAAAUAACCACCUUGAACCGACCAUUAUAAUUAAUCUCAAUAAUAUCUU
rnacentral:lncRNA from 1 species